ACUCACGCCAUUCAGCUCAGACAAAACAGAAGAAAACAGAGAAACCCCUAAGCUCUAAGCUCUGCUUCCUUCACGCCGAACCUCCACCACCGCCACAGCCUGAUCGUCGGAGCAGAACGAAGAAAGAAAACCAACCCAGACAAAAGCUCACGCCUUCACCUUUGCUUCCUCUGCUUCCUUCACGCCGAACCUCCACCACCGCCACACAGAUCGCAAACCCACUAAACAGUACAGCUCGCUUAAACCCCAAAUUAGAACCAAAACGAGUUAGGCAAAAAUUUCUGGUUUCCUCUGCUUCCUCCCUCUUCCAUCCUCUUCUUCAUCUUGCCCAAAUCUCCACCACACCACACACCGAAGCAUACCGCCACACAAGUCACCGGAUUCGUUGCUAGAGCUUGUAAACAUGCCGGAGCCACCGUGAGCAUGGUGUUGCGAUGCAAAGGAUGUGGAAGACCAAAAGCAGCUGGCAAAUGUUUGGCAAAGGACUAGAGAUCUUGGUGUCUACAGCUAUUAAAUAGUUCUCUCUUUGGAAAAUCUUCAUCGGUAUCGAGUAAGGGUGGAGACGAGGUGUGAGAUUUGUAGUCCCCAAUCUGAAACUGUAAGCCAUAUCUGGUGGGAGUGCCCAUUUGCACAAAACGUGUGGGCUUUAUUCAAAGGUUGAACACAAAAAUGCAGCUAGCAAGAAUUAGAGAAGUGGGCCGUUACAGCGUGGGCAAUAUGGAAUGUGAGGAAUAAAUUUUAUUUCGAACAUUUCCAAACUCAUCCAAAGGUGAUCCUCGACUUGGCAAAUGGCUUGUGUGAAGAAUACCAACAUCUUAUGGAUAGGCACUGAGUGACUCGAUGUACCAUCUUCAAGAUGUGGUUUUGAAUGCCUAUUGCAUGUAAAAGGUUGAUUUGAAUCACCAAAUGACAAGUUUACAUUAUUGUGAUCUUCGUUUAUUUCUGACUUGUCAUGUACUAAGUCAUCCACCAUAUCACAAAGUAAGAUUGUUUCAGGUUCUUUGUUGUUCA